rnacentral:lncRNA from 1 species
ACACACACACACACACACACACACACACACACACACACACACACACACACACACACAGGAGGUAGAGAGAAAGUAGUAGGAGACACAGAGGAUCCAGUUUCCUCUGACUGGUUGCUGUGGUUUCUGAGGGGUGCUGUUGACGUAGACAGUGUGUGUGUGUGUCUGUCUGUGUGUGUGUGUGUGUGUGUGUGUGUGUGUGUGUGUGUGUGUGCGUCCAGGGUCAGAUUGGAGCGUAAUACACAGCAGAUCAUUUACAGGAAGACAGGAAGUGUCCUGGUGAUGUAACUAUAACCACAGUCUGGUAGGAAACACCUAACAACUGAUUCUGACCAUUAUUAAGCCUGGAAAUACAUGUUGAAUUCAGCUCUGGUUCACCUUUAAAUGUUUCUAGUUGUAUUAUCACCUUCACUAGUACAGUGAAAUGUCUUUCCUUCAGCUCUUUCCCAACAACGUAGUAAUCAGGAUCAGAAGGACUAUCAACUAAAGCCACGUAGAACAAAAACACACCACAAAUAGAAAUAACAGGAGAAAGUCAACUAUAUACAGUUCCAGGGUCAGUAGUUAUAUACAGGCUCAGUUCCAGGGUCAGUAGUUAUAUACAGGCUCAGUUCCAGGGUCAGUAGUUAUAUACAGGGACAGUUCCAGGGUCAGUAGUUAUAUACAGUUCCAGGGUCAGUAGUUAUAAACAGGCUCAGUUCCAGGGUCAGUAGCUAUAUACGGGCUCAGUUCCAGGGUCAGUAGUUAUAUACAGGCUCAGUUCCAGGGUCAGUAGUUAUAAACAGGCUCAGUUCCAGGGUCAGUAGCUAUAUACAGGCUCAGUUCCAGGGUCAGUAGUUAUAUACAGGCUCAGUUCCAGGGUCAGUAGCUAUAUACAGGCUCAGUUCCAGGGUCAGUAGCUAUAUACGGGCUCAGUUCCAGGGCCAGUCAAGAUGCUCUCAAUGGUGCAGCUGUAGAACUUUUAGAAGAUUUCAGAGCCCCAUGUCAAAUCUUUUCAACCUCCUGAGGGGGAAGAGGUUCUGUCGCUUUCCUCAUGACUGUUUGCAUGUGCACCAUUUUAAGUCCUGGACCAUUUUUUAAGUCCACCCGAGGAACGUGAAAUCCUCCACCGCUGCAGCCCUGUUGAUGUGGAUGGUGGCCCUUCUCCUG